rnacentral:misc_RNA from 1 species
CAACUCUUUAUGGGAAUAAUGUCUUUUUCUAUACUGCUUGAACGACUCAUGCACUUGCGGUACUCCAUUUUUCACAAUAUUUCUUUACAAUUUUAUUAUCUUAAAAUCGGUAUUGCUUGUUUUUUUUUGUUUUUCCUUCUGUGUUUGUUUUGUUCCUAUCUCCUUCUGAUUCUAUUAAAACUCUUUCUCUCUUCUCUUUUUUUCCUAAUGGUUUCUCGCCAACCAAACAGAAAAGAAUUAAAAAUGACUACGGUGAAUGCAAACUGCAGAAAAAAAUUUCUGCAGUAUUUCUGGGCAACCAACAGUGGAGAUUUUCCCAAGAACAAAGAAAAGCAAAAGUUUUAGUAAUUAACACGACCAUUCUUUAAUAUUGGGCAACCAACAUUGGGGGGGCGGGGAGAUGACAUUCUGUUAGUAAUUAACGGUGAAAUUAACGUGAGGGUGGAAUUGUUCUGUUAUGUGAAGUACAUGGUAUGAGUGUUAAAAUUUUUAGUUCAAACUAUAAUUUUAAAAAGUAAGAAAAAUUUGGAUUUUUUUUGGCUAUUUCC